rnacentral:tRNA from 1 species
GCUUGGAUAGUUCAGUGGUAGAAUUCUUGCCUUCCAUCUGGGAGACCUGGGUCUGAUUCCCAGCCAAAGCA